rfam:Stagonospora sp. SRC1lsM3a unplaced genomic scaffold IQ06scaffold_7, whole genome shotgun sequence.
AAGAAAUUAGCUUAAUUGGUAGAGCAUUCAUUUUACACGCGGCAGGUUAAGUGUUCAAAUCACUUAUUUCUUA